rnacentral:lncRNA from 1 species
GUUUGGGACCAUGAGACCUCCCACUCCUGGGGCCAGAAGGAGUUGCUGAGAAGGAGCUGUGGUUCUGACCUUCAGGGGAAUUCCCACGUCUGUAUGGUGGCUCGUGAAGAGCAUGGUUCCUUUUCUCAGCCCUCUUGAGGGGCGAGGAUGCUGAGGACUGAAGUCGGGCCUGCUCUCUGUCAUGUGAUGCUAUACUACAGCCAGGCUGGAAUUUGGUGUCUUAUUGCUACAAAGAAUCAGCUUUGUCAAUCCUAAGGUCACUGAGAGGCUGCCAGAGGGCCAUUUUCAUGACCAGAGGGAUCUGUUCAACACCCUGUGGGUCCCAGCACCUAUCUCAGGAAGCAGGGUGCAUCUGUCCACCACCAAGUCUCAGGGUGGCUGGGUGAGCGCUCAUCAGUCCCAGACAGCAGGUUGGCACAAAACGACACUGCCCACAAAACCACAGGAAGAAGAGAAACUCCGACUGUCUUUCAGCACACAGAAGACACUGUACUGGACCCGGACAUUAGGCAGACACCCACGCCUGACUUUCAGGAGAAAAGAGAACAUGACUAACGGAUAUUCUUAGUAGAUGGUUUAUUAGAAAAGAGAACAUCUUCCAGCAUGUGUCCUGGGGUGAUGGGUGUGGGAAGCACUCAGUCCAUAGUCCUGGUCCCUGGCUUCCCCAAGCCCAGCACCAUGAAUGUACAGUGGAAAGCAGAGGGUGCAGCGUCUCAGAAAGAUGCUUCCACUCACAAGGAUUGGAGCUCACAAGUGAGCUCCAUAACCUGCAAACCAGAGAAACCUGAGACACUGCCCCUUGGCCAUUUUAUCAACGGAGACUUUAUUGUGAUUAUCCCGGCAGGGGGCCGAGCUCUCCUCUCUGCAACAGGAAAUGCUCUUUAGUGAAAAUGCAGCAUUUCUCCAAGGGUAACAAAGCUGAACGCCUGCUUAGCUUAUGAACCCUCAGUUGGCCUAGGUGGUGCAAAGACCCUGCUGUUACUGCUUUGAUCAUCAGUACUGUGGACUGUACCAGGAGAUCCCUGGGAAUGUGCUCUGGGCGGAAGCAGCUUUUAUCUUUGGCCCUCACCCAUGCUUUAUAUGGUGAGGUUGGGAAAAUGGCACAAGGCUUCUCCUGAACCUCAAAUCAACACCCUUGCCCCAUUUAGAUCCUAUCUGGCUGUUUCUUGCUAAUAUUACUGCAUCACUGCACCAUCUUUCCUAUUUCAGCAAAGUGGAGUCAUGUGUGGUUUAUGGGGUAGAUGGACCCCAAAACUGAUAAUAUGAAUCAAGCUAUGGUGUUUACUCCCUAGGAAAUGCACAAUUUUUCUGGAAACCUACAGAAGCUUCAAAUGCAUUCGCCAUGCAAAGCUAAGUCAGCAGAACAACCCGUUUGGCUUUGGAGGCUAGUUCAGUUCCGCGGACAGGGAGAAAGAUGAGGCAGACUGUGGUUUUUCAGUUCCUGGAGCUUACGGAGCUCCAAAGCUCCCUCUCUUCCCACCCUGGCUGCACUGUUCUUAAUUUUAGAUAAUACCCUGCCUUCUCGUAUUGCUGCUGAGCUCCUAGCAUCCUCAGUUUAUCUGUCUGUGAAAUGAAAAAUCUAAUGUUAAAUUUUUUACCUAUGGCAUGAGAGAGAUGGCUAUGGCUCUUGUGAGCCUCUCUGCAGCCCCUCUUUUCCUUCAAUCACCCUCUGUCUCUCCUGCCUUCUGCUUAUUCUCUCUCUCCCCUCAUCCCCACUUUCCCAGUGGGUCCUCUGUUCUCUUUUUUUUUUUCUUUUUAAAUCUCUCUAUGCCUCCAGCCGAGAAGAUAAAGAGUGUACAUCUUUCUGGUUAAAAAGUUUUGCUUUGCAGAAACACAGCCAAUUUAUGAUUCUGGCCUUCCCAGCUAGGGACAGUGUUCAUUUACAUUUAGGACCAUGAGGAGAGAGGCUUAGCUGUGUGUUUCUGAGGCCGGAGAAAAUUACAGUGAUAUAUAACAGUGCUGCACUCAUAGAGGUGCUGAGCCGGGGUUGGGCUCAGGCGGCCGCUAAGCUCAGAGUGGAAAGUUUCAGAGGGGAGGCAGAAAGGAGAGGUCUAUAGCUCCUCCAGAUUCUAGGUAUUAAUUUACUAAGAUAUUCCUAAGCCAGAAAACAGAGACAGAAGACAAAGAGAAAGAGGGAAGAAGAGCAAGACAGAGAGUUAGAGAGAGACAAAGAGAGAGAGUUAGAGACAAAGAGAGAGUGGAGAGGAGAGAGAGCAAAUAUUG